GAUGAAGAACGCAGCGAAAUGCGAUACGUAAUCUGAAUUGCAGAAUUCAGUGAAUCAUCGAGUCUUUGAACGCACAUUGCGCCCCCUGGUAUUCCGGGGGGCAUGCCUGUCCGAGCGUCAUUGCUGCCCUCAAGCACGGCUUGUGUGUUGGGCCUCCGUCCUCCUCCCGGGGGACGGGCCCGAAAGGCAGCGGCGGCACCGCGUCCGGUCCUCGAGCGUAUGGGGCUUCGUCACCCGCUCUUGUAGGCCCGGCCGGCGCUUGCCGACACAUCAAUCUUUUUUCCAGGUUGACCUCGGAUCAGGUAGGGAUACCCGCUGAACUUAAGCAUAUCAAUAAGCGGAGGA
rnacentral:misc_RNA from 1 species